UACGGAGGGGGCUAGCGUUGUUCGGAAUUACUGGGCGUAAAGCGCACGUAGGCGGCUUUGUAAGUUAGAGGUGAAAGCCCGGGGCUCAACUCCGGAAUUGCCUUUAAGACUGCAUCGCUCGAAUUGUGGAGAGGUAAGUGGAAUUCCGAGUGUAGAGGUGAGAUUCGUAGAUAUUCGGAAGAACACCAGUGGCGAAGGCGACUUACUGGACACAUAUUGACGCUGAGGUGCGAAAGCGUGGGGAGCAAACAGG
rnacentral:rRNA from 1 species